CAUUACCAUUAAUUAUUUAGACUCAGAAGGCUGCAAAAAACAUCUUGAUUCAUUGGCAAAGUGACAAGCAUAUGGUGUGUUUUGCAAAGCCCUAGCUUUCUGUUGAGAGGAAGCUAACAUUAAUUUCUUACAAACCCUGUAGGGACUUUCCAAGACAGCCGUUGUUAACAUAGUUUGACAUCGAAGUUGGAGAGCUGGGAGUUUUAAAAAAUAAGUUAGAUACAAAUUAGUACUUUUAUUCAGGCGGGUGACAAGGAAGCUUCAGACGCACCAUGGAUUUCCUGCAAAGAGCAACUGAGCAUCGGACAGCUUUGUAGCUUGAUUGAUAGCAGAGGUGUCAGGUCUGUUUAGUAGGUCCUGCAAGAUGGCGCUUGGAAUCUGGUGUUUCCUGCAGUGCUUGGCACUCCAGCAACCUUGGCUCAGGCAAGAGUCCCAAAUCAGAUUCACCAAGCAUGUGGCAUGAUCAUGGUCAGAGCUGCCCUCUGGUUGAGGGAGGCAAGCAGCCCAUCGAUACACAAGCUGUUAGAGGGCAUCCCCCAGGGACUUGAGAGACGUGGGAGAGAAUGAAAGGGGGUGUCGUUACAUGAAGUGAAAGAUACACGAAGACACCUUCGUGGUCUGCAGAUACUUGCCAUUGUUAGGAAUGCCUCCUCCAGGGCCUCAGACUCAAGCGGCACAGCUCCCCUUGUUCUAGGGACAGAUUUGUUCUGUCUUCCAUCCUGCAAUUUGCCUUAGUGACUCCCCGGGCAAAUACUUCAUUUCUCACACUGUGUCUCCUCUGUCGUCUUUGGACUUCCUCAAACCCCAGAAAGGUGUGGUAAUGUCAGAAUUUCAUUCAUUGUGUGAGUUGAUAGAAUGCAGUUUGCAUCAGCAUUCUGUCUCUUGUGGGAAUAAGGGCUAGCAAUGAAAGCAUAAAUAAAACAGAGCUUUCCUUAGGAACUACUGGGGAAAAAGGCCUUUGAUAAUACAAGCAAAGACAGCAAAUGAAAAUAUGAACUAUUCAGUCGAUUUGGUCUGAAAUAGAGCAGGAAGGUAAAAGGGAGCAGGAUCCAUCGGCAGUUCCGCUUUCCCUUCAGCCAACAAAGAGGAAAAGAUUCUUGGCUAAUAAUAGUUGUUAUGAAUACUUGCUAUAUGCCUACUGCAUAGCAUAUAGGUAUAUGCAUACUGAAUACCUGUUGGGUUCUAUGCUAAGACCUUUACCUACCCCAUCUCAUUUAAUCCUUAAGACAAG
rnacentral:lncRNA from 1 species